CAGGCUUUUAAUGCUAUUAUCUAAAUGGGAGGCUUGAACUGGGCUGGUGGAACGUUCUUGCAAGCACUCCAUAAAAACUCAGACCCAAACCUCUUCUGUUCUGGCAAGACUUCCCUUCCGCCAGAGGCCGCCCAAGACAUUUUGCUGCCCGAGGGAUGAUAGUCAAUGUGCCUUCCCUGACACCCCCCACAAAAUGGCCUCCAAGGCAACUCUGCCUUGAUACGGACCACGGCUGGACGCCACGCCCUCUUCGGGUAAAGGGCUGUUCCCUCCUUCCUCCCUUGCCCCAGAGGUCCAUUUCCAGGCCUUCUGCCAAGCAGGCCUGGCCCUUGCGCUCCUACCCCCCCCCGCCCAGAGGGAAAUGCAAAGCCAGGUCUCCCACCUUCUGUCUUCCUGCACUCUAACCCUCUGACAGCACUGCCUCCUCGGUUUCCUCCAAUGUCAUGGUUAGCAGGCUUCCCGCCUCUAUUGCAGGGUCUCCCUCCUCCUCAAAGGAUGGGACGCUUCUCAACUUCAUUUCUCGACAGGAGGAGCUUAAAGAUGAAAGAAGGGAGCAACGGAAUUUUUCCCCCCCACCCCGCCCCCCAGUCACUGCAUUGCUGAUUUGUUCCUCCCCACUUUUGGAGCGCCAUCCCUUCCCUAUCCCACAGAAAUGGAAAGCCCACCGAACAAGGAACAGCCCCCAUCCCUGUUCCAGGAAACGACACUUCCCUGGCUGGGACUCCACUCCGUGGCUACACAUUGUCAUGAUUAGGAUAACCCGCCUCUCUAAGGCACCUUCUUGGUGGAGAGAGCGUGUGUCGUUCUGGGGCAUGCACAGAGUGCCUCUUCCUGGCACACACACACACACACCCCGGUAUGACAGCCAGUGGACCCAAUAGGUCGGGAGACCAAAGCUAUCCUGACUAAUUAGCUUUCCAGGUUCCCUCUUAUGUAAGUAAAUGGGCCAUUUAGCCCCCUGUGGCCGGCCAGCAGCCCUUUCCUCCUCAGGAGGAAGCGAAGGGACUCCCACCAAGGCCAGGCUUAGGAAGACUGAGCCGUCCGAGACCUUUUGGGCAGGCUUUGUGGUACCUGCUCUGACGAAAGAUGAGUUUGAAGCGAAGGGUUCAGCGACAGGAGGUCAGGAGGGAGACGUGCGCUGGCGCUUGCAGACGGACCUCGGCCUGUUUGGUCAGCCUCUGCAGCCUCGAAAGUGUCCAGUCGCUGAAUUCCGCGUCCUAGAUUGCCAGCACCUUCGUUUCUCCCUGUUCCCUUUUCAGGACUGCGCGCGCUUUGUCCUCUGGCAGCAACGGCGGCGACGGGGCCGGAUCUCCUCCACGCCAAGGGCCUGCCAGGCCCCCGCAUUGCGGCCGCUCCCGCCAUCCCAGCAGGACACGGGGCAUCGGGCACACCCGCAGACGGCGUUGGUUCCUUUGGGUGCUGGAGAUCACCCUUCAGCUGCGGGUCACCCCACCAGGAUCACAGUCGGCGGCCCCACCAGACCAUGCCUUGGCCUGUCCCCUUCGAGGCACCUCGUUUCAGGCCAGGACUUGACAGCAUCGUGGGCCACCGUUAUCCAAGCUGACGCAGUGAGUGUCCACACUGGAUGUGGGGCAGCCUUCAGAGCUGCCAGGAUUUAACCUGCUGCCUGCUAGCUGGAGACUCUCCCUGUGGCUUUUCCCAUUCCAGGUCAGGGAGGGCCACAGAGUGGCCACCCCAUCCCCCAGAUUUACAGCCCUCAAAGGCCAGGCCAUGGCGGGGGGGCUGCUUGGCUGCCCUGCGGACCCUUGGCUAAACCUUCCUCCCACACGUUCCACCUUGUGGGGCCGCCUGAGUUUCCCUGGAGCUGAAAGGGGCCUUGGUUGUCCUACUGAGGUCAGAGGGCAGGACUUGGGCUUUGGUGGGGGGCACUCUGGGGUCAGGCCCCCUCCGGUCCCCACGGGAGGAACUCCCAGUACACAGCCUUGAGCAAGUUGGAGGUGAGAAUUUUAGC
ensembl:lncRNA